rnacentral:rRNA from 1 species
ACGGCCGCAAGGUUAAAACUCAAAUGAAUUGACGGGGGCCCGCACAAGCGGUGGAGCAUGUGGUUUAAUUCGAUGCAACGCGAAGAACCUUACCUGGUCUUGACAUCCACAGAACUUUCCAGAGAUGGAUUGGUGCCUUCGGGAACUGUGAGACAGGUGCUGCAUGGCUGUCGUCAGCUCGUGUUGUGAAAUGUUGGGUUAAGUCCCGCAACGAGCGCAACCCUUAUCCUUUGUUGCCAGCGGUCCGGCCGGGAACUCAAAGGAGACUGCCAGUGAUAAACUGGAGGAAGGUGGGGAUGACGUCAAGUCAUCAUGGCCCUUACGACCAGGGCUACACACGUGCUACAAUGGCGCAUACAAAGAGAAGCGACCUCGCGAGAGCAAGCGGACCUCAUAAAGUGCGUCGUAGUCCGGAUUGGAGUCUGCAACUCGACUCCAUGAAGUCGGAAUCGCUAGUAAUCGUGGAUCAGAAUGCCACGGUGAAUACGUUCCCGGGCCUUGUACACACCGCCCGUCACACCAUGGGAGUGGGUUGCAAA